UAUAUCAAACCGUUGCGCCAGACUUUGUC
rnacentral:sRNA from 1 species